rnacentral:rRNA from 1 species
AUUGAACGCUGGCGGCAGGCCUAACACAUGCAAGUCGAACGAGUGGCGGACGGGUGAGGAAUGUCUGGGAAACUGCACGCUGGAGGGGGAUAACUACUGGAAACGGUAGCUAAUACCGCAUACCAUCGGAUGUGCCCAGAUGGGAUGAGCUUGUAGGUGAGGUAACGGCUGACCUAGGCGACGAUCCCUAGCUGGUCUGAGAGGAUGACCGGCCACCAGGGCACUGAGACACGGUCCAGACUCCUACGGGAGGCAGCAGUGGGGAAUAUUGCACAAUGGGCGCAAUCCUGAUGCAGCCAGGCCGCGUGUAUGAAGAAGGCCUUCGGGUUGUAAAGUACUUUCAGCGGGGCGGCGUUACCCGCAGAAGAAGCACCGGCGAACUCCGUGCCAGCCGCCGCGGUAAUAC